rnacentral:rRNA from 1 species
UACGGAGGGGGCUAGCGUUGUUCGGAAUUACUGGGCGUAAAGCGCGCGUAGGCGGACCUGCAAGUCGGGGGUGAAAGCCCGAGGCUCAACCUCGGAACUGCCUUCGAUACUGCGGGUCUCGAGUCCGGGAGAGGUGAGUGGAAUUCCUAGUGUAGAGGUGAAAUUCGUAGAUAUUAGGAAGAACACCAGUGGCGAAGGCGGCUCACUGGCCCGGUACUGACGUUGAGGCGCGAAAGCGUGGGGAGCAAACAGG